GACGUAGGGCGCGAGCGUUGUCCGGAUUUAUUGGGCGUAAAGAGCUCGUAGGCGGCUUGUCGCGUCGAAUGUGAAAACUCGGGGCUCAACCCCGAGCCUGCAGUCGAUACGGGCAGACUAGAGUGCUGUAGGGGAGACUGGAAUUCCUGGUGUAGCGGUGAAAUGCGCAGAUAUCGGAAGGAACACCAGUGGCGAAAGCGGCUUCCUGGUCCAGCACCGACGUCAGGCACGAAAGCGUGGGGAGCAAACAGG
rnacentral:rRNA from 1 species